rnacentral:rRNA from 1 species
GAGUUUGAUCGUGGCUCAGGAUGAACGCUGGCGGCGUGCCUAAUACAUGCAAGUCGAGCGAACGGACGAGAAGCUUGCUUCUCUGAUGUUAGCGGCGGACGGGUGAGUAACACGUGGAUAACCUACCUAUAAGACUGGGAUAACUUCGGGAAACCGGAGCUAAUACCGGAUAAUAUUUUGAACCGCAUGGUUCAAAAGUGAAAGACGGUCUUGCUGUCACUUAUAGAUGGAUCCGCGCUGCAUUAGCUAGUUGGUAAGGUAACGGCUUACCAAGGCAACGAUGCAUAGCCGACCUGAGAGGGUGAUCGGCCACACUGGAACUGAGACACGGUCCAGACUCCUACGGGAGGUCAGCAGUAGGGAAUCUUACCGCAAUGGGCGAAAGCCUGACGGAGCAACGCCGCGUGAGUGAUGAAGGUCUUCGGAUCGUAAAACUCUGUUAUUAGGGAGAACAUAUGUGUAAGUAACUGUGCACAUCUUGACGGUACUAAUCAGAAGGCCACGGCUAACUACGUCG